rnacentral:lncRNA from 1 species
AUUUUUGUUGGGCUGGAUUAUAUCCAAACAUGAUGCGAACGACACAACAUAAAUCAAACGCGGCUCCCCCUUGAGGUUAGUCAGCUUUGCAUUACAUUUAUUUUAUAUAAUGAUAACAAUUUAAAUGCAUUUAUCAAUUUUAUUAAUAUUGAAAUACACUUUAUUUUAAUUUUCUUUUCUUACCCUUUUCUUUCUCUCUCCUCUCUCUAAGUAAUGCUCUCCGCUUGAAAAAUUUUGGAUUAUUCAAUUUCAAUCGGUUAUAUUUUUACAAUCAACUUUUUCUUUUUCUUUUUCUUUUUCUUUUUCUAGUCCUGUGAAUCGGUUGGUUAGAAAGGAAGUGGUUUAGAAGAGGAACCACUUAGAAAAGCUUUGGUCUUGAAUUAGGCUUUAAUUGAAAAUUGGGUUUAGUUAUAACUUGAAGGCAUGUAAUUAGAAACGUAUUAUGAAUGUUUUUCUCCAGGUCGACAAUUUAGCUAAGUAUAUUUAUUGAACCCAUCAACAAAUAACAAUAACACAGCAAUUUUUUUUUCCCUACCUGAAAUGAAGCUUUUCAUUGAUUAACAAACAAAAGUUACAUUUCUUCAGCAGAACAAUCACAGCUUGAACUAAUAAUUGAAAAUGUUGCUAAAUCGUGACUUUUCAAUAGCUAAGGCACCAAAUCCCAAAAAAAAAUAAUAAUAAGGAAAUUACUUAAGUCACAGGGCUGUGACUUUUUUUUUUUUAAUUUAACUCAUUAACAAUAACAAAGAAAAACAUCUCAUUU